GACCCUGCCAUGCUUCCUCUUUACCUCCAAACCCGAAGGUGAUACCUCGAUGCCACCGCUGAAGGGCCUCCCCAUGAAGCGAGUGACAGUGCAGAGGAUCGGGACAUCACUGCAACCAGGAACACAGAUAGAUCCUUUGGAAAAUACCAGUCAC